rnacentral:lncRNA from 1 species
UCGAAUGUCGUUAAGAAUUGCGUACUUCCGCAAGAAGCCGUCUGUCAUCUGCUCACGCUCGGCUGCGGCCGCCCAUGUAGGAAUUAAGCUUUGGCCACCCUGCUACCGUGUCAGAGCCGU